rfam:Actinobacteria bacterium 13_1_20CM_3_71_11 13_1_20cm_3_scaffold_5391, whole genome shotgun sequence.
CACCGCCGCCGUACCGCGAGAUCUCCAGCCGCUCGUAAUCCUGGCACCCCUUCCCCGGUGCCAGGAGGGCGAUGCGGAUGGGGAUCUGACGGUACGGCGGCGGCAACGA